rnacentral:rRNA from 1 species
AGGCAAUAACAGGUCUGUGAUGCCCUUAGAUGUUCUGGGCCGCACGCGCGCUACAAUGAGAGAGUCAACGAGUUAUCCACCUUGUCCGGAAGGUCUGGGUAAUCUUGUGAAACUUGAUCGUGCUGGGGAUAGUCCAUUGCAAUUAUUGGUCUUCAACGAGGAAUUCCUAGUAAGCGCAAGUCAUCAGCUUGCGUUGAUUACGUCCC